rnacentral:rRNA from 1 species
AGAGUUUGAUCCUGGCUCAGGAUGAACGCUAGCGGCAGGCUUAACACAUGCAAGUCGCGGGGCAGCGGGAGUAGCAAUACUCGCCGGCGACCGGCGGAAGGGUGCGUAACGCGUGAGCAACAUGCCCGUAUCAGGGGGAUAAUCUUUGGAAACGAAGUCUAACACCCCAUAACAACAGGGAGCGCAUGAUCCUUGUUUGAAAACUCCGGUGGAUACGGAUUGGCUCGCGUGACAUUAGCUAGUUGGAGUGGUAACGGCACACCAAGGCUACGAUGUCUAGGGGUUCUGAGAGGAAGGUCCCCCACACUGGAACUGAGACACGGUCCAGACUCCUACGGGAGGCAGCAGUGAGGAAUAUUGGUCAAUGGGCGCAAACCUGAACCAGCCAUGCCGCGUGCAGGAAUAAGGCCCUAUGGGUCGUAAACUGCUUUUGCUGGGGAGCAAUAAGGUCUACGUGUAGGCUGAUGAGAGUACCCAGCGAAUAAGCAUCGGCUAACUCCGUGCCAGCAGCCGCGGUAAUACGGAGGAUGCGAGCGUUAUCCGGAUUUAUUGGGUUUAAAGGGUGCGUAGGCUGUUGUUCAAGUCAGAGGUGAAAGCCCGGGGCUCAACUCCGGAACUGCCUUUGAUACUGGGCGGCUUGAAUCCUGUUGCCGUGGGAGGAAUGAGUAGUGUAGCGGUGAAAUGCAUAGAUAUUACUCAGAACACCGAUUGCGAAGGCAUCUCACGAAGCAGGUAUUGACGCUGAGGCACGAAAGCGUGGGGAUCAAACAGGAUUAGAUACCCUGGUAGUCCACGCAGUAAACGAUGAUGACUAACCGUCGGCGAUACACAGUCGGUGGCCAAGCGAAAGCGAUAAGUCAUCCACCUGGGGAGUACGACCGCAAGGUUGAAACUCAAAGGAAUUGACGGGGGCCCGCACAAGCGGAGGAACAUGUGGUUUAAUUCGAUGAUACGCGAGGAACCUUACCCGGGCUCGAACGGCUGGUGAAGAGAUCCAGAGAUGGUGACGUCCUUCGGGACACCAGUCGAGGUGCUGCAUGGUUGUCGUCAGCUCGUGUCGUGAGGUGUCGGGUCAAGUCCCAUAACGAGCGCAACCCCUGCGUCCAGUUGCCACCGGUCAGGCCGGGCACUCUGGACGGACUGCCCGCGCAAGCGGAGAGGAAGGCGGGGAUGACGUCAAGUCAUCAUGCCCCUUAUGUCCAGGGCUUCACACAUGCUACAAUGGCCGGUACAAAGGGCUGCGAUGCCGUGAGGUGGAGCGAAUCCUUGUAAAGCCGGUCUCAGUUCGGAUCGGGGUCUGCAACUCGACCCCGUGAAGUCGGAGUCGCUAGUAAUCGCAGAUCAGCAACGCUGCGGUGAAUACGUUCCCGGGCCUUGCACACACCGCCCGUCAAG